AGUUUUUUUUCUUCAAAAAAGGUUUGCAUGGAAAAUUGUAAGUAAAUGUUUGUUGGUCCUUUAUAAUUGUAUAUAUUGUCUUAUAAUCACAUAAAAAAUUCAAAAUUCAGACAUAAGUAAAAGGAAUGCUAUAUCACAUUUUUGUCGCCAAUGGGAAAAAAAUCAAAGUUUAAGUUACUACGGGAUAUGGAAGAAAUAACAGAGAUAAGUAAUUUCUUAUUUCUCAGAUGCUAAAAUGUUUUGACGGGGUCAGGGAGUUCUCUCCCUUAAACAACAAAAACAGAAUAGGUCUUCUUUCACAUUCCUUAUUUUUCUUCACCUUCAUUGCUAUGGUUUUCCCAUAUCAUCUCUCCUUCAUGAAAACACUGUCAUAUGUUCACUUAGCAUACUUCUUAGAAUAUAACAAUCUACCCUUUUAAAGUUACAGCCUCUAUCUUCAAAAAACACAACACUUAAAACAUGCAUAAAGAUCAAGAAUUGUUCUUUUUUUUUUUUUCAAUGAAGAAUCUCAUUAUCUUAAGGCAUUUUGGUUUGAAAAGAUAACAUCAUUGAAGUCAAGCAAAGCUAAACUUGACCUUGGUCCUGCCAUAAUCAAACAACCCACUAAAGGUCUUUGCCAAUCCAACCAACCACAGGAAAAGAGUGAGUAAAAUCACACAAAAAUAAGAGUUGGCUAAACUCCAGUUUUCAUCACUAUCUAGUUGGGCAAUUUUCUGGCUAGCAAUAAUCCUUACUCCCUUGGAACUUUAUCCCAGUAACAGUGAGGGUCAGAAUAUAUUUUCAAAAGUAAUUUUCUCUACUCACCCUUUUCUAAACCUUUCCUUUCACAGCAACCUAUCUAGUAAGCAUUUCUAGAAACAAGUUAGUAUAUAACGAGCCAGGAAUCUUUAGAGUAAGAACAAGUUGAAAUGAAAAGGUCUUCAUACACUACUUCUAAAACAAUCUGGAAACUGGUAGAUGGCUCUUCUUUAGUGCUCUAAGCUAUAGUAACAAAAAUACUGGUUUAUAUUUUACUUUUGAACACACCAAUGUAAGAAGAGCCUCUUCUUUACUCUUCUUUCCAAACUGCUGACAAUCUUAUUUGGUGCAAGAAAUCUAUGAGUUAUGAAGCCAGACUUACCAGACUAUUGAAUUCUCAUUCUUAGAAUAUGUAAAAUCUAUUGGGUAAGUGGGUUUUGGAUUGUUUUCCAAAAAUACGCUAGCAUUUCGUACUUUGGAUACUUGAUCUUUGCAAAAUUCAGACAAACACUGGCAAAGGAAAAUGUUAUAAACAUCAGAUUUUGUUACAGCCUUCAAUGAAACCUAUGUAUAAAACUGUAAAAGUUAAGUCAUGAUGAGUAUGGGCUGGUUGACUGGAUCUUUUUAACAUAAUCUAGAAAGUAUCUUUCACUGAGUUCUCUUAAAGAUAAAACUAUUAAAACACACACACCUCACACUCUUGAAGGUCCUCUGUUUAAAGUUGUUGGAACAGAUUUCUUUUGAUGAAACUACUGAAAGAUUAUAUAUAUUGAGAGGGAUUAAAAAUACUAAAAGAUGAAAAGCAUCAGUUACCAAUAUAAUUCCUUCAGUACAACACCAAAUGAUAAUUGCAAUGCCUAAUUAGCACUGAAUGGUGUAUUUUAUUAUGAUUGUGCAAUAAGCUUGAUACACUGUUAAUCAUGUAUUAACGUUAAAUACCUAUACUAUAAAUGUACUAAAAAAAAAGCUUAUCAGUGAUUAAUGCUGAAUACUGAAAUUCUCAUUGAUAUUUUGUAAAGGUGAAUUUUGGGUAUUUAAAAAGUUAUAAAAGUGCAUUUAACUGGGUAAUGUUGGAAAAUAAAAAUUUAAAAAUAUAAGGUGAAGGGGAAAAUACGUAAAGCUGUCCUGUGUACUCAUAUUACGAUUAAUGACUAAAUAAGGUAUUCUGACUCUUUUUAAUAAUCCAAUUGCUAAAAGACCUAUGAAGGAAAUUAUGUUAGAAGGUUAAAAGUUCUGGUUUUCACUUGUUUAUACAUGUUUGCCCUUUUUGUUCCUUUAGUUAACUAGAUUAAAGCACUUAAAACCAAAAAUAAAAUUACUUUACAUUACCUAUGUGAACUUUUUUUGGUUAGCUAAUAAUUCUUUCUAUAUUUUGAUUGUGGGUAUUGUGUGGGAGUGGGGUCAUUGAAUGGUGUGAUAUCGAUAGAACAAGAAAAAGUAUUUUUCUCUACUUUGUUUUUAAAUGAAACAAACCAAAGCCUUUUAGUUAUUCUAGCAACCCAAAGAAACUCCAAACUUGAAUGUAUUAGUCUCCUGCCAUAAUAUUGAAAAUCCUCUACCUAAACUGUCUUAUUUUUGCUAAACCAGGCUAAUUCUUAAAAUUGCAUAUUGUCCUAUUGUGCCUUCCUGAGACUCAACUUCCUCACUGAAAAAAAAAAAAAAAAAUGAGGAUAAUCUGCAUUUCAUGGGGAUGCUAUAAGGAUGAAAUGUUUUAAAAUACAGAAACAACCCAGUGUGAUAACCUGACACACAAAAAAGUACUUAAUAAAUGAGUUGACUUCUAGAAAAUUCUGCACUAUAAAACUUUAAGGUGAUUAGAGAUGUUUUGAAUCCACUUAUUGAUAAGGCUGUGUGCAUUUUCACACUUUCCACUCUGUUAAGACUAUCAGAUUUUAUUCCAAGAAAGAGUGCGGGGAAGAAAAAGCAGCAGGCAAAAACUGAAACAGAAAAACAACAUGGAUGUUGUAGCUCUUUACUUUCAUUCUCUUAUUUUUAAAAAUAAACUUGACUUAUCCCUCUUGUUACCUAUUUUUCAAAGAAAUACAAGUUUCCUUAGUCUUUUAGUUUUUAGAAGCCAUGUUUAGAGCUAAGCUGAUAUACUAUGCCAAAAGUACACUUAAACCUGGGUAUCUUCAUUGCUGAACGUUUUACAUUACAAGGCGUCAGUCUUUAAAAAAAAAUUUUUUUUAAACCUGAAGAUUACUGACAAAUAAGCAUUCUCUAACAAUUAUGAAUUAUUUCACAUCAUUUUAAGGUUUCACUUGAUCAAUUUUACGUGCAAACAUACUUUCUCAUUCUUUACUCUUUCCUACUAUGUUUCGCAUGCCAAAAAAAUCCACUAAUAGAUUAUAAACUCUGCUUACCAGUUCCCUUCUCAACAACCUCCAUCCAUCCCAGCACCCACCCAUUCCCAAAGAGAUACCCAGCAUUGUUUAUGUGGAGUUGGAAACAAUACACUCCCCACUGCUGGUUAAUUUACAUCAGAUACAGCCAGGCCCGGGAAGCAAAGUGUCUGUCGUUUUCACCCCUUUUUCUUCUCCCUUGCUUGCUCAUGCCCCCUCACCCCUUUUAAUUUAAAUUACUCGUUUUAACUUAAAAACUUCUGGAUGUUUUAUUACCUUGGCAGCUUUUUCUCUGGAUUGACUAAAAAGAGAAGGAGUCUUGCCAUGUUUCCCAGGCUGGUCUUGAACUUCUGGGCUCAAGUGAUGUGCUCGCCUUGGCCUCCCAAAGUGCUGGAAUUACAGGCAUGAGCCACUGCACCCAGCCCCCAUGUCUUCCUUUUUUAGAAAAGAGUUAAAAGGUCCUGAAUUCCAGCAGAAUGGCUGAAGCCAACCAGUCUAAAGACCUCAACCAAGGAACCAACCAACUCUGCACAGGAAUGCGGUUUCUUCAUCUCCCUGUCCCAGGAAUUCACCCCUUGCCUCUUGACCAAUCAGCAAUCCCCACAUUUUAGCCCUACCUGUUCAGACCCUUUACAAGCUCCAUCCCCAAACCCUGGAGGGAGGAGGAUUUGAAGGUUCCUCUGUCUCAUUUGACUGCCCUACAAUUAUUAAACUCUUUCUCUACUGCAA